rnacentral:misc_RNA from 1 species
GAUUGACCCAUGUAUCAUGUUCUUCAACCAAUAUUACACUCCUUUUCCCUGUCUUGAUAUCAAAUUUAAUGAUUUUCAGUUUGGAUUGUGAUCGACUCAAGACUUGUGCAGUCAGAAUAUUUCCAUGCAUCCAAUUCACUCUCGCCAAAUAUUCCUCGUCCUCAUUUGCUUUGUCCUUUACACCACAAAGAAGAUCCAUCCAUGUUAUUUGACCCCCGUUAGCUGAAACCACUCCCAG